rnacentral:lncRNA from 1 species
UCCAUUCAAACCGUGUACACAUCAAUUUAAUCAAAAUGGUACUCUUAAGACUUCUCCUGACUUCAAACUUGCAACUAUUGAAGGAAAAUACAACAAUUUCAGAGGCGGGUUGGUCCAAAAUAUGCCAUAGUACUAAGUUAAAACAAAGACCAUUUAAUCAGGGAAAUGGAAUCCCAUCCUUUAAGUUUCAACAAAAUAAAAUGAUUCAACUUAAUGACAGACUAAACAUGCUUCAAAUCACUUUUAAUAAAAUAGAAGAUCAUAGCAGUAACGAUGCUUAUUUUGAAAUCAACAUCUUUGAAUUCCUGAAAAUUGGUUAACACACCAUGCUGUAUUGAAAUUGACUAACAAAACCAACCAUUAACUCAAUCCAAACAUGUAAUGAAGAUAAUUUUUCAGAUUCCUACAAUCAGAAGAAGCUUGCAAGCAAGCACAUAAUUCUAAUUCUUAUUUGUCAAUUAGGAAAUAGACCAUGAGAACCUUGAGAAAAGUUGAUUCAUUCUUUUAAACCAGGGAAAGAGAAAAAGAAAGAAAGAACACAUAACCAUGCUAAUCACUUCACACAAAAUACUCAAAAGAGCACAACUGACAUAGAACUAUCAACUUAGACACACCUCCUAUAAUGAAAUGGAACGAACAGAAGAUGGAUGAACAAAUUUGUUAUCACUAUGAAAUUUAAAUAUGUCUAUUCAUGGCUUCUUCUAAGCUCGAUUCAAGAAAAAUAAAGAGUGGGGAAAAGGAAAUCCACCUGUUAAGUAAUUCUUCUUUUAACAACAGCAAUGAAAAAUGUCGUUUACAACCAAAUCCUUCUUUCCUAGCUGCUGGAAAUAAAGAGAUGAGACCGCAACGAGAAACACAAAACACUAACAAAACUC